rnacentral:sRNA from 1 species
GAUCAGUUUUGCGCGAAUUACGGUUACGAAAGGUUGCUGACGACAAAGGGCCGGCGUCCAAAACAAACAUUUUCCCAGUGCCAGUGCUCUCUACCAGAGCCCGUUCUCUUCACUGUGUGUCCAAGUGAUUUUUUUUGUCGUGACAUUGAAGCGAUUUUUUUUUUCUGACUUGCCCUGAAGAAUAUUCUGAAAACACACCCACAUAUCGCCUUGGGAACUGACCUACGACAAGGCACUUUAAGAACGUAACUGACCUAAGUCACAAGGAAAAAGAAGCGAGCCCGACAACACUCGAAAUACCAGAAACUUUUGCACAUUUACGAGCCCGUUUACGAGUAGAGUGAAUAGUUUUUAGAGAGAUUAAUAUAGGAAUAGAAGUAGGACUAGGACUAGGCAUAGGCAUAGGAGUAGAGACUCUUACUUUGAAUUAUCAUAUCAGUUGCAAUCGCACAGAGAUCGAACAUCGAGAGAAGCCAGAAGCCAGAAGCAAAGGCAAAGGCAAAGUAAAUCCCAAUCGAUUCGAUCAUUUCUGAACAUCGCUCGCUUAAACGUUGAAUGGUUGUGAACUGUAGUAAGCAAAUAGUGAAUUAGCAGCAUAUAAUCUUCGUAUACCUAUCUAUCCCAUAGAGCAUAGAGCAUAGAGAGUAGAGCAUAGAGAGUAGAGCAUAGAGCAUAGUAAGCUAAGACCUAGCCCAGUCCAUAGAUCAGAUCCCUUGAGGAACUGUCUUGCCCAGGAAAGAUAUAGUAGUACUGUAGUUUUCAAUUGUCGGUGUUCAACGAAAAUAGUGCCCACACGAACUGUAACUUUGUGUGAGUUUAUUUUACUGUUUGAAAAAUGUGAAAGAAAUACGAUCGAACAUCGAAACAUCGCAGAGCUCUGUUGAGUCCAUAAAUGGUCUCCCUGCCGGUGGUCGUUGCGCUGCUUCACUGAAGCGCUGGGCUCUCAUCCCCCACAUCCUACAUAUAUGCGUCACUAAUUUGCAAUGAUGAGUUAUCAGAAGGGCCUCAAGGAUCCAAACGUGGACAGGCAUACCA